CUGACCCUGGAUCCCUGGAAAUGUCCAAGGCCGGGGUGGAUGAGGCUUGGAGCAAUCUGGGAUAGUGGAAGGUGUCCCUG